CUUUUCCAACAAUCAUAACUCCCUGAGAAACACCACCGACUUAGAAAGAUCCUCACCAUUCUCCAGUAACACAUGAGGACAAAGACCAACACAAUCCAUCUCUUUCAUCAACUUCUCAGCCAUAUCCAAAAUCUCCCUUAUCUACAAACAACUCAGGAAACUUCCGCCAACGCCCACAAAGCCUCCUCAUCAGCGAGUCCCCGCUUGGUUACAAAGAGACAGAACGAUCAUCCUCAACACUAACAAAUCAUUCAUCUUUAUUGUAUCCUUCAACAACGUCCUUGAUCAGAUCUGGGUUUGCUUUAAUCUUGAGAAAGUCGCAAGCUUUGAUGUACAUGUAAGGACUGUGUCUGUGUCCGGAUUGAGUUCCGGCCCAUACGAAGAACCUAAGACCCAAUUGUGAUUGAUUUGAUAUCCCUGGAGAUGAAAGCUUUGUGGGUUGAGAAUUGGAACGAGGGAAAAAAACGACGACGGAUCAGGUGGAGUAGCAUCUCUCUAAAAUAUUUUCCCCAACGUCUCUCUAAAACCUAGAUCUAAUCCGCUCACCUCUUUGCUCCGGCGGUGGUGGUCCUUAGACCAUCGUCGGAGGCUCUUUUUGUCUUUUCCUUAUUUGCCUCAUCGACUCAUCCCUCCUUCUUCAGUCCUUGCCCUAGCUCUGGAUCUCGUUCGCCUCCUUAGCUCCCCUGUUUAAUCUCGUUAGAUAUGGAGGGAAUGACGUGUUCAGUAGUAGAUCUGGUGUGCCGGCGACGAUUGGUGUUAGGGUCUGUCGCUGGGGUCGGCUAUGUGGGUGGUCGGGAUUCUUCUUCCUUGCUGAAGCCCCUUCAGAUGAUUCGACGGUACCAUAGCGGAGGAGAGGUUAGGGCUCGGACCAGCUUCGACCCUGUUUUUCCGCUUGCUCGGAUCGCUGGUGGCUGUUGUCAGUUUUUUCCGGAUCUAGGGUUUCGACCUUGAGAAUGAUGGCGCGUGGAGUCCAGAAGAGGUUACAAUCCCAGCGGUUCUUCAUUGUCUCCCCUCCAGUUUAUUGUUGUAAGGUAUGUAUCUGUUGGCUGGGGUUAUUGUCUCAGUUCAUGGUCAUUCUUGUUCUUUUUGCUCUUGGAGAUCCUACUGCUGGUUCUCAGUUGUGGGUACGUGUGGGGUGGUUCUUCUCUCGGUGUUGUCGCCCGAGCUUAUGAGUUGCAUGUGGCAGCGUCUGGCGAGUUCUUGAGACUUCAUCCGCGUCUCAUUGGUGAGCUUCGUCUUCCAGAGUCGAGUUCUGGACUGUGGCAGCGUGUUGGUCUCUCUCUUUCACGCAAUAAAGGCGUCAUCUUUGGAAGUGUGGUCUCAGCGAAAGAGGUACAGUCUGGUGGGUGUGGGCUGGGGUUAGUUUGGUACUCGAUAUUCUUACUAGCUCGAAGGUCGUCUUUAUCGGAGGAAGUGUGCCUGAUAUGUCUCACUUCCCGUCUUGUGUGGUGGGUUAAAAGGGUGUACACGGUCCCGGGGUUAGGAGGGUUGGAGGCAGCAAUCUCCAAGUCACCUUCCCGAACGACGGCACCGCCUAUCAUUGGACUCCUCCUCGUGCAGCCGGUGAGGCGAUGUUGAACGGGUUUGAGGCUCCGUGAUGUGUUUCUUUUGGAUGGUGUUGAUGAUAGGGUCUCUCGGAAGCUGUAGGUAUGUCCACAGUGCUUCAAGGAUUGGGUCGCCUUUCUCUCCGGGAGCUCGCGGCAACCGAAAGCUCAGUCCGCUCACACCUCUUAUUUGGGCCGUCGACGCUGCGCUAACUUUGGUUCAUGUCUAGGACUUUUCUUCUUUGGUUUUGGAAUUACAUCUUUUUUAGAUGCUCUGUUUAGCAUAAGUUAGAUUUUCAUUUCUGCAAGUCUGCUACUAGUACUCUCCGUGUUUCUGUAAAAAAUGAAAAAUCUAUAUAUAUAAAGUAGUGUUCUCUUCUCUCCUGUGGUGCCACCUAGGAUCCAGUUCAGAAAGUCGCUGCUUGAGGAGACGACAUGUGUCCUUUUCAUCAAAACGCACAGCUUCAUUUAACUUAGAAUACAAUUGAUCUGGGCUUUGUGUAUGGGCUUACGGAAGCCCUAAACCGUAGUCUUCUCUCCUCUCCCUUCUUCCAAUCCAACCUCCCUCAGCUUCCGCCGUCUUCCUCCUCCACCUCCCAGAAAGUGAGGCCCGUUCCAGCCCCUCCGUCGCUUCCGCCGGCAGGUAACUUCGGCAGCUUGAAGGUUCGAGGGCGAUCGGAGGGAGCGGGUUGGGGUCUCUGCCGCACACGUUGACGGAGCCGGUGUGGGAUACAGUGAAGAGGGAUUUGUCGAUGAUCAUGAGUAAUCUGAAGCUGGUGGUGUUUCCAAAUCCGAAUAGGGAGGAUUUUGGGAAGGCGUUUAGGGAUUGGGAUCUGUGGGAACCGUUUUUCUUCAAGCCAGCCAAAUUGUCCUCGAGAACCUUGGUAUCAAGGCAGCCGAAUCGCCCUCAAGGUCCAAACCCCUCGAGGUCCAAACCCUGCUUUUUCAGAAAAUUUCCUCUGUUAAAUAUCUCUCAUACUCUUUGAUAAUGACUUCUUUCGCAGAUUCAUCUAUCUGAAUUGAAGUCGGGACAGUGCAGGUAGCGUGUUGAGGCAAGGCUUUUGCGUUUCUGGGAAUCCCGAAAGGAAGUGAUUUGAGGGAGAAAAGGAUGCGAAUUUUCCUCAAGAAGGUGUGGUCUGUGGUGGAGCUUUGUCGUACAAAAGUUUCAAUCUACAAGGUUCCAUGAGAGUUCAUCAUCACAACCCCAAUUCUAGACCGCUUGAAGGUCUUCCCUACAGCUUAAACAUGUAAUCACAACAUGCCAUUGACUGAGCAACAUAAAGGAGAAAGAGAGAAUAACUCAGUGAGUUAUGAUCAUGAACCAAGUUUUAGUGAGGAAGGUGGUGAUGGUCACAACGAAUCCAUUAGCUAAAAAGUUUCCAUGGCAGUGAUGAAGUUGACUGAUAAGAUGUUGAAGUUGCAGAUAACCGACGUGCCUUAUAUAGGUGAUGAUUUGAGUAUGGAUGGUGGUAGUAGAAGAAAGUUUGCGGCUUUACAGAGAAAGAUCAAAUGGAAAUUUGUUUCUGAAGUUCUGUUUGAGAGAGGUUAUCAUGUCUCGCCUCAGCUGUCUGAGGAUAAGUUUAAUGAUUUGAAUAAGCGGUUUAAGAAGCUUAAUGAGAAUAGAUUUAAUAUGCAUCAUGACCUUGCUC